CUAUCGACCAUUUUAUUGUUUUACAUAAUAUAUCAUGCAACUCACUUAGAUUAUCCAUUUUUCCUGAAGUAACAUUUUAGUCAAGAGCCAUUAAAUCUUCUUUGGAACUGUGACAAUAACCACUAACUCUAAAUUACUCUCUUGAAUGGAGGAUGUCGUCAUUGCCAACACAGUCCCUUUUUCCACUGACGAGACAAUGCGAUAUGACACAUGAAUCGGCUUCCCUCCUGUCAGAGUCAUCUCUUCGAGCCCGAACUCAUCCCACCAAGCAAGAUCUAUAGUUCCAUUAAAACUUUUGUCGGACUUAGACAAAGCAUCUUUAGUGUAUGUCGUAACCUCCAUGUUCUUGUCACUAACAAGGAGAGAAAACUCAUGUAUCAUCCUCCCAUCUAGCCUCGCCAAUGUCUCCUUGAUACAAUGGGUGAUGAGAAUGUUGUAUCCUAUUGUAUGAUCCCCAGAAGGUCCACGGACUUUGAAGAGCAUGGUUGUGUUGGUGGUGGUGGUAGUGAAGUCCGAGGGGUUUACCUUUUGGAUUGUUUGCAUGAGCUUUUUGAAGUAGUCCAUAUGAAAUAUGGGGGUCUUGGAGAGCUUUCCCUGAGAUAACAUUUGGUUAUGGAUCAUCAUCCAUUCUUUGAGAAAUUUGAUAAACAUAAGGGGAUCGGCUAGGAGGAGGUUGCAACUUAUCCCAAUAGAAUACCCAUCACCUUGGAAUUCUGUCACCUGAAUGAAGAACAAAGCGGAGAAGUUGGGAUUCUCUUCAUCCACGUCCUGCCAGUAACACAGCUGAGCCUCCACCCCAUCUCUGUCCUCCGAUCCCAACACCUCCUCCAGUGUAGUCUCUACCGCCGCCUCCACCAGCCUCACCCCAGCAUCAUUGUACUUCAACUCCCAGUACCCCUCCCGCUCCCCUUCCCGCCUGAGCCGCCCCGCGAGGACCGGGCGCUCCGACAGCGCUGCACUCAGAGACUCCUUGAUCCACGCAGCCACUAUCCGCGCCGAAUCUUCCUUGCCGGAGACGCGGUAGUAGAGGACGAUGCGGAGGCGACUCUGGAUCGUCGCUGGCAGGAGGGUGUCGGUGAGGGUGAGCCGCCGGGAUUGGCCAGGCGGCGUCACCUUUGUCGGCAUGACGGAUUGUAUUGAGAUGAUGCGUGGGAUUGGCAUGGCGGUGGCGGUGGCGGCCAUGCUGAACUGAGA
rnacentral:misc_RNA from 1 species